CAACAGCGUAUAUUAAAGUUGUUGCAGUUAAAACGCUCGUAGUCGGAUUUCGGGGCGGGCGGGCCGGUCUGCCGAUGGGUAUGCACUGGUCUGGCCGUCCUUCCUUCCGGAGACCGUGCGUGCUCUUAACUGAGUGCGCUCGGGAGACGGAUCGUUUACUUUGAAAAAAUCAGAGUGUUUCAAGCAGGCAGCUCGCUCUUGCAUGGAUUAGCAUGGGAUAAUGAAAUAGGACUUUGGUGCUAUUUUGUUGGUUUCGAACACCGAAGUAAUGAUGAGAAGGGACAGUCAGGGGCACUCGUAUUCCGCCGAGAGAGGUGAAAUUCUCAGACCAGCGGAAGACGAACCACUGCGAAAGCAUUUGCCAGGGAUGUUUUCACUGA
rnacentral:rRNA from 1 species